GUGGGGAAUAUUGCACAAUGGGCGCAAGCCUGAUGCAGCAACGCCGCGUGAGGGAUGACGGCCUUCGGGUUGUAAACCUCUUUUAGUAGGGAAGAAGCGAAAGUGACGGUACCUGCAGAAAAAGCACCGGCUAACUACGUGCCAGCAGCCGCGGUAAUACGUAGGGUGCAAGCGUUGUCCGGAAUUAUUGGGCGUAAAGAGCUCGUAGGCGGCUUGUCGCGUCUGCUGUGAAAACCCGAGGCUCAACCUCGGGCCUGCAGUGGGUACGGGCAGGCUAGAGUGCGGUAGGGGAGAUUGGAAUUCCUGGUGUAGCGGUGGAAUGCGCAGAUAUCAGGAGGAACACCGAUGGCGAAGGCAGAUCUCUGGGCCGUAACUGACGCUGAGGAGCGAAAGCAUGGGGAGCGAACAGGAUUAGAAACCCGGGUAGUCC
rnacentral:rRNA from 1 species